CCCGAACGUGGCGGCAUGCUUACACAUGCAGUCGCACGGGCAGGCACCNUGUCAGUGCGGACGGGUAGUACGCGUAUCUAUCUUGGUGGGGGACAACCGUGGGAAACUACGGCUAAUACCGCAUGAUCCCUGAGGGGCAAAGGCGAAAGUCGCCUGAGGAGGAGCCUGCGUCUGAUUAGGUAGUUGGUGGGGUAAAGGCCUACCAAGCCUUCGAUCAGUAGCUGGUCUGAGAGGAUGAUCAGCCACACUGGGACUGAGACACGGCCCAGACUCCUACGGGAGGCAGCAGUGGGGAAUAUUGGACAAUGGGCGAAAGCCUGAUCCAGCAAUGCCGCGUGGAUGAAGAAGGUCUUCGGAUUGUAAAGUCCUUUUGGCGGGGACGAUGAUGACGGUACCCGCAGAAUAAGCUCCGGCUAACUUCGUGCCAGCAGCCGCGGUAAUACGAAGGGGGCUAGCGUUGCUCGGAAUGACUGGGCGUAGAGGGCGCGUAGGCAGACGGCACAGUCAGGCGUGAAAUUCCUGCGCUCAACCUGGGGACUGCGUCU
rnacentral:rRNA from 1 species